GGGCGCAUAGCUCAGCUGGUUAGAGCGCAUGCUUCACAUGCAUGAGGUCGGAGGUUCGAGUCCCCCUGUGCCCACCA
rnacentral:tRNA from 1 species